rnacentral:rRNA from 1 species
UACGGGGGGGGCAAGCGUUGUUCGGAAUUACUGGGCGUAAAGGGUGCGUAGGUGGUGGGGUAAGUCGGAUGUGAAAUCCCGGGGCUCAACCCCGGAACUGCAUUCGAAACUGCCUUGCUCGAGUACUGGAGAGGAGACUGGAAUUUACGGUGUAGCAGUGAAAUGCGUAGAUAUCGUAAGGAAGACCAGUGGCGAAGGCGAGUCUCUGGACAGUUACUGACGCUCAUGCACGAAGGCCAGGGGAGCAAACGGG